CGCAGACGGACGUAUCAUGCCUAUGGCAUUUUGAUAUGGGGUAACUACACAUGGAUAAUGGCUGGACAUCUUUAGUACUAUACUGUGGUUAUGUGGACAUCAUAGAGGUUUCGUUACCUAGGUGGCAUUAUUAUCUGAAUUCUUUAUCUAAUAAUCUGGAGGGUCAAACAAGAUCUUGGUGAUUGGACAAUUGUGGUCUGGAGUUAUCUGUAGUAAGGAAGCAACUAUUUUCAGGUCUUUAUUCCAGGUAUAGGCUUUACUACUAUUGAAAUGGUCCAUAUAUAUAUAUGGU